rnacentral:rRNA from 1 species
CGAUAGCGUAUAUUUAAGUUGUUGCAGUUAAAACGCUCGUAGUUGGAUUUCGGGUGGGAAUGGCCGGUCCGCCGUUUCGGUGUGCACUUGCUACGCCCACCUUGCUGCCGGGGACGUGCUCUUGAGUUCACGCUCGGGACACGGAGUCGGCGAGGUUACUUUGAGUAAAUUAGAGUGUUCAAAGCAGGCCUACGCUCUGAAUACAUUAGCAUGGAAUAACACGAUAGGACUCUGGCCUAUCUUGUUGGUCUGUAGGACCGGAGUAAUGAUUAAGAGGGACAGUCGGGGGCAUUCGUAUUUCAUUGUCAGAGGUGAAAUUCUUGGAUUUAUGAAAGACGAACUACUGCGAAAGCAUUUGCCAAGGAUGUUUUCAUUAA